UACGGGGGGGGCAAGCGUUGUUCGGAAUUACUGGGUGUAAAGGGCGCGUAGGCGGCCGAUCAAGUCAGAGGUGAAAGCCCAAGGCUCAACCUUGGAACUGCCUUUGAUACUGUUUGGCUAGAGACCGGAAGAGGUAAGUGGAACUGCGAGUGUAGAGGUGAAAUUCGUAGAUAUUCGCAAGAACACCAGUGGCGAAGGCGGCUUACUGGUCCGGUUCUGACGCUGAGGCGCGAAAGCGUGGGGAGCAAACAGG
rnacentral:rRNA from 1 species